AUAGUCCUCCGUCCUAUUUUAUCUUCCUUCUACGGACAAUUAUAUUCUUUCGAAAAUGUCUCGUAAAAUCGAAUUUCCUUUAUUUUCUUUAGUCUUGCAUACCCAUCUACCGAACAAUUUUCAAUCGAAACGAUACAUCGAAGCUUCGAAAUUGAUUCAGUUAGAAUGAAACAAUUAUUUGAAUCUACGUAUAUACCAAUUACAUAGCAGACGUAUUCUGUCGAGGUUAAUUGUUUGGUAUCUAAAAAAUUGAUUUAAAAAAGCUAGCCAUGUAUUCCGAUACUGAAAUUAAGAAAUCUUCAAAAAAUGAAGUUGAUCAACUUGUGGCUUUUGACUAAUUCAUAUGUUCUUUUAUACAGUUUUAUAAUUGUUCGUUUAAAAGGAAAUGUUUCGUCGCAAGUAGUUACACGAGUAAAGUUGUCAACGAUUCGAUCGUUUUAACGAUUUGAAAAAACGUUAUUAACGCAUCUUUUUUAUUUCAUCGUCGACUUUUAUUAAUUUGCACAAUGCACUACCUCCUAAUCGUGUGAUUUGUCCGAUUAUCAACCGUCGAUCGUAUUUUAACAUCGGAAUUAUAAUGCUUCCGUUUUUGUGCAUCCUGUUAUUAUCGUGCUGUAAAUCUUACGACGAAGACAUAUAUACGGAAUUUCAUAAUCGCGAGAAUCCCCGGGCGUUGGAUUUUUUUGCACAUUUUAUCCGCAACUCGACCAGCAGUAAAUCGUAUUGCGCCAACCUUUAAGAGGCAGUAAAAUGUUAUAAUACGUAAUAACUGUAUGAGAAUUAAUUAGCGAGAAAUUGAUGCCUCUUCCCAAAUCAGAUUCUACUUAACCUCCAAGUACUUUGUCUACAAGGCGUUUUAGUAGAUCGAAUGGAAGGAUAGUUAAUUUUACGAAAAUGAGAAAUUCACUGUAGUCCCGUAUGCGCUCGUGUUCCGUACACAGGAAAAGGAAAACAAAUGGAAAACAUACGAAAGAUAUGAUAAUUAGGCUGCGCAUAUUUAUGGAAAUUCGUAUAAUUAAAAAAUGGAAUUUAGCUAGGCAAUUGUUUAGUUUCCUUGAUAUUGAUAACGAGUACCAUAUAUUUUUAUAUUUUAUAUAUUUUUUUACGUUAUACGCAAUUUGUGUAUUUUGCACCUUCAAAUUCCCCAUAAAUUCUUAAAAAACCACAGUCUAGUGAUAGUCGAAUAAAAAUGAAUCCCUUCCCGAUUCGUACACAUCACGAUGUGUAUCGUACUUGAAAUCGUGGAUACGUAGUAAGAAUAAAACGUUCUAUCCGUAUUUGGCGCGUAGUUCGUCUUGCAAAAUCGCGAAGCCAGUUCCGCGAACAAAGAAAUACGAUUAGUUUUUCUUGUCGGUUGACGUAGUGAUUGUACCUGUGACGAAAAAAUAUAUGUCACAGGUAUGACAGGCUAUUCGUUCCUAUGCAAUGUCGAGCCAUUGUUCUGCGGCUAGCUCGUUUGACCCGACAAGACGAUAAAUGGGAAAAUGAACGUGGCCUAUGAGUUACGAUUUUCCGUCUACGACUUUUGAGCUUGAUAAGCAUGUUCAGUGCGUCUGACUAUAUAUUGGACAAUUCUACUUUGCGCGCUCUAGUUUGAAGUGAUAGAUACCGACGUAAAUAACGUAAGUAAUAGAUGAUUAAUAAAAAAAGUUCGAUGUAUCAGCGCAAUAUUAGAAAAUUAUAAUAUUUAUAUGCUCAUUUGUUAUUCUUGUUGUAGAUAUUAGUAGAAAAAAAACAAUUGUUGAUCAAAUUGGCAUACACAAAAAUGAAACGAGAGAAAAACAAAAAUAACAAUAACGAGUUUUAUUUUUUGUUUUUAACAAAGCAUUUGGAUUUGUUUUAGAAUACAUGUUCCAAGAUAUUGUGUAAUGCAAUACAAAAUUCAACGUGUAUAGUAUAAUAAAAUAGAUAACUUUCAGUAAUAUUAUAUUAGCAUUUUUAUGCUAGAGUAAUGUAUAAGCGGAAAUGUUUUCGUUUCAUUCGAAAACCGAAUAAAUCUAAGAUCUAUUCUCGAA